rnacentral:ncRNA from 4 species
AACUAACGCUAUUAUUGAUACAGUUUCUGU